AGGACGAACGCUGGCGGCGUGCUUAACACAUGCAAGUCGAGCGGAAAGGCCCUUCGGGGUACUCGAGCGGCGAACGGGUGAGUAACACGUGAGUAAUCUGCCCCUAGCUCUGGGAUAGCUCCGGGAAACCGGGAUUAAUACCAGAUACGACCACUUUAGACAUCUGUUGUGGUGGAAAGAAUUUUGGCUAGGGAUGAGCUCGCGGCCUAUCAGCUUGUUGGUGAGGUAACGGCUCACCAAGGCGACGACGGGUAGCCGGCCUGAGAGGGCGACCGGCCACACUGGGACUGAGACACGGCCCAGACUCCUACGGGAGGCAGCAGUGGGGAAUAUUGCGCAAUGGGCGAAAGCCUGACGCAGCGACGCCGCGUGGGGGAUGAAGGCCUCGGGUUGUAAACCCCUUUCAGCAGGGACGAAGCGAAAGUGACGGUACCUGCAGAAGAAGCGCCGGCUAACUACGCGCCAGCAGCCGC
rnacentral:rRNA from 1 species